UGAAUUCUAUAAAAAAAUGGCUUUUUAUCAAAGCAAGCAUUGGCAGUGCAAGGUCACAGGAAAAACGGGUCUCACAUAUCUGGAGGCCCUAAACAGUGAAAAGUCCGCCGAACAGAAACUUUUACUUCUACCGGAAGUAUACUUCAAGCCUUUAUUAGCAAUAAUACAAUACAAUUCUCUAACCUUUGAGCAUCUUGUAGAAGAAAUUUGGCGAGUUUUUCAAAAUUGUUAUUUUGUUGGUGAAAAAGUUAUAUAUCACGAAGAGGGCUCAAGUUGUCUAUGUGAAGUUGUCGCUGCGAGAAAAGAACACGCUU